UACGUAGGUGGCAAGCGUUGUCCGGAUUUACUGGGCGUAAAGAGCGCGCAGGCGGUCGUUCAAGUCGCGUGUGAAAGCCCCCGGCUCAACUGGGGAGGGUCACGCGAUACUGAUCGACUCGAAGGCAGGAGAGGGAAGUGGAAUUCCCGGUGUAGUGGUGAAAUGCGUAGAUAUCGGGAGGAACACCAGUGGCGAAGGCGACUUCCUGGCCUGUUCUUGACGCUGAGGCGC
rnacentral:rRNA from 1 species